rnacentral:lncRNA from 1 species
AUAGUAGAUUUACAUAAACUAUAUAUACUUCUUGAAGACUAGUACUAAAAUGUCUAUUUAUCAUCUGACUGGAUAAUGUUUGAUAAGUAUUGUAGAUGAGCACAUCCAACAGACAUGAAACAGGUGUCUGAGUGAUAUGUGUAGAAUUCACUUUGUCAACACUGCUAUAGAUGAAUGUGAGUCAUGUAAACAAACAAAUCUACGUAAAGUAACUAAACAUAAGUUAUCUAUUUUAUUUGUCCAUUUGCAAUAUUGAUAAUUUAAGGAACAUUUGUGUUGGAUAAAAAGUGAGUUACAUCAGUUAUUAGUUCAACAUGUAAAUGCAGUAUAUCACAGAUAUAUGACAGAGGAGACUGACUCUUGUCUGGAUGUUACAGGGACAGACGAGACACAUGUGUGUUUAUCUGCUGUAGAGUAACUAAUGAAGGAAUGCUACCAUCUAAGGAUUUGUAUCUUUUGUGGUGGAGCAGGACCUGCAAGGAAAGGUGAAAAAGAGGGAAAACCUGAAACAAAAGAAUAAUGUAAUGACUUUUUGUAUUGUGUAUUUUUGUAGGACAUGAACAUGUCUGUAGACUGGUGUGUGCACUGAGGAUGGAGAAGACCACAGCAUCAUCCUGGAAAUGAUCGAGAGUCACAGAUGAGAUGCUCCAUCACUCCAGCUCUUACCGUCUCAUCAGGACCAGAUGCUGCUGUGGUGUCUUCAUCCUCAGUGACCCCAGAGCCAGUGAGAGCAUCUAGAGAAAGACCACAAGACACUGAGGAUGUGAUUUUGGGGCCUACAAUCCCCUGAUCAACCUGGAGAAGAGAGCCUUGCUCAAGGACACACUGGUGUUCCUGUGGCUCAAGGGGUAGAGCAUUGCGUUAGCAGUGCAAGGUUGUGGGUUCGAAUACCAGGGAACACAUGUUAGGUAAAAACUUUUAGUCUGAAUGCA